rnacentral:rRNA from 1 species
GACGUAGGGCGCGAGCGUUGUCCGGAUUUAUUGGGCGUAAAGAGCUCGUAGGCGGCUUGUCGCGUCGACUGUGAAAUCCCGCGGCUCAACUGCGGGUCUGCAGCCGAUACGGGCAGGCUAGAGUUCGGUAGGGGAGACUGGAAUUCCUGGUGUAGCGGUGAAAUGCGCAGAUAUCAGGAGGAACACCGAUGGCGAAGGCAGGUCUCUGGGCCGAUACUGACGCUGAGGAGCGAAAGUGUGGGGAGCGAACAGG